rnacentral:rRNA from 1 species
AUUGAACGCUGGCGGCAUGCCUUACACAUGCAAGUCGAACGGCAGCACGGGGGCAACCCUGGUGGCGAGUGGCGAACGGGUGAGUAAUACAUCGGAAUGUACCCAGUAGUGGGGGGAUAACUAGUCGAAAGAUUAGCUAAUACCGCAUACGCACUAUGGUGGAAAGCGGGGGAUCGCAAGACCUCGCGCUAUUGGAGCAGCCGAUGUCCGAUUAGGUAGUUGGUGGGGUAAAGGCCUACCAAGCCUGCGAUCGGUAACUGGUCUGAGAGGACGACCAGUCACACUGGGACUGAGACACGGCCCAGACUCCUACGGGAGGCAGCAGUGGGGAAUUUUGGACAAUGGGGGAAACCCUGAUCCAGCAAUGCCGCGUGUGUGACGAAGGCCU